GGGAGGGCAAGGGAAGGACUGCAAUGGGCCUGUGGCAGAGCCAGGGGCUGAGCAGUGAGCACCCCCUGGCACAUUGGAAAGUUGGCACCUGUAGCUCCAGCCCCGUAGUCAGUGCCUAUAUAAGGAGGCACAUAUUAACUUCUGAAGAGCCACAGGUUGGCCACCCCUGAACU